rnacentral:rRNA from 1 species
GACGAACGCUGGCGGCGUGCUUAACACAUGCAAGUCGAACGGAAAGGCCCUGCUUUUGUGGGGUGCUCGAGUGGCGAACGGGUGAGUAACACGUGAGUAACCUGCCCUUGACUUUGGGAUAACUUCAGGAAACUGGGGCUAAUACCGGAUAGGAGCUCCUGCUGCAUGGUGGGGGUUGGAAAGUUUCGGCGGUUGGGGAUGGACUCGCGGCUUAUCAGCUUGUUGGUGGGGUAGUGGCUUACCAAGGCUUUGACGGGUAGCCGGCCUGAGAGGGUGACCGGCCACAUUGGGACUGAGAUACGGCCCAGACUCCUACGGGAGGCAGCAGUGGGGAAUAUUGCACAAUGGGCGGAAGCCUGAUGCAGCAACGCCGCGUGCGGGAUGACGGCCUUCGGGUUGUAAACCGCUUUCGCCUGUGGCGAAGCGUGAGUGACGGUAAUGGUAAAGAAGCACCGGCUAACUACGUG